UACGUAGGGGGCUAGCGUUGUCCGGAAUCAUUGGGCGUAAAGAGCGUGUAGGCGGUCCGGUAAGUCUGCUGUGAAAGUCGGGGGCUCAACCCUCGAAUGCCGGUGGAUACUGUCGGGCUAGAGUGCGGAAGAGGCGAGUGGAAUUCCUGGUGUAGCGGUGAAAUGCGCAGAUAUCAGGAGGAACACCUAUUGCGAAGGCAGCUCGCUGGGACGUUACUGACGCUGAGACGCGAAAGCGUGGGGAGCGAUCCGG
rnacentral:rRNA from 1 species